rnacentral:tRNA from 1 species
GAGCAUAUAGCUCAGUGGCAGAGCACUAUGCUUAGCAUGCACAAGGUCCUGGGUUCAAUCCCCAGUACCUCU